AAAAAAAUUAAACUCGUAAAAAUAUACAUACGUUCCGCAAUAUGAUAUUAAAAUUGCAUCAGCCUUUUCAUAGUUUUUUUCUCUGUUUUUUACCUUACUAAAUGAAGUUAGUCGAUCAUUUUUAAUGAAGUAGUGAUCGUUUGGAGCGCACGGAACAACGCAUAUAAUUAAGCAGCAAACGUGAACACAACAACGGCGUAACAGAAAGUUUCAUUUUAGAAAGCAGAUAGAAAUCGGGCAUUGCAAGCGUCUGGUGAGUAAAGCGAGUGUUCUAAUCUGGAGCGUUGUAUGUGACUGAAAACCUCUUGGCAAACAAUGUGCAAUAGCAUUGCCUUGGUGGAGAAUUCAUGACUUGCCCUCUCACAACAAACGAAAUCUGUCAAGGUUGCAAUUCGAAACGGAUUACCAAUGUUUCUAUAUAUAUUGUCAACGGUUUUUGAAGUUGCGAUUUGUGGAACAUCCUCGAAGUCUUCUCGGCCAACUUGAACAACUCAAAAAUACAUUCACGCCACAAACCUUAAUUUUUAUUAACAACUAUUAAUAAAUAUCAAUGCGAGUUUUCCAAGCUUCAUAUGAAAUUUCACAACAGUUCGUUCUAUUGUUAAACUCAAAAUUUUUCUGGCGAAAGAAACCUAUCAAUGUAGCCCGAUUUAUUUACAGAAGCGAAAGGUACUGCAUUUGAAAGCAAGUGAUUUAGGUUGAACAACUGGUAAUCGCUGGCGUGUGGCACAUGCGUACUUUUUUAGGAAGAUUUGUAAGUUUUGCAAAUGGCGUCGCACUUGUGAGUUAAACAGUUAUAGUAUACAAACAGACAAUCAAUGGAGCGCAUAAAGGUAAAUAAAAGAUAAAGAUUUCCCACUCCCGAAAGCAUUCUUCAUGACGAUCAAUCGUUUGAACAAAUUUUCGAAGUACUUUGUCCGAUCUCGUUUCUAGGGAGUUUUUUAAAUUGUGUGCUAAACAACGCGAACAAAGGAAAACUAAAUCUCACGAUGUAUAACAUAAAGGUUUUGCUCAAUCAUUUCGUGCACAUCAACAAUAUUUCCUGACACAAAAACUGGUUUGGACAAGCUUCAGAAAUUCGGUGACGUACCAACAGCUACCACGAGAAAGUUCAUCGUACCAGUUUUUUACGGUGCUAAAGACAGCUGCUCCGUCGGAAUGAGCUAGUGCGUGACUAUCAUUCGAUAUUGCCCGGAUUCGAAACACCGAAAACAGCAGGUCGGUGGCAAAGUUAAAACAUAUAUUUGUGUUCUUUCAUGAACUUUAUUGUUGUGGAAUAUGUGCAGUUUUUUUUUUUUUUUUUUUAUUAUGUUAUAUGUUAUACCUACGUACCAAAUUA